rnacentral:tRNA from 1 species
AAUGGCUGAGUUAGAUAAGCGAAAGAUUGUAGCUCUUUUGACGGAGGGAAGCCUCCUUUCGUAA